GCUUUCGAUGGGGUGAAACGCACUGGCGGCCAAAGGGUUAACGCGUUAAGUUGAUGAAGUUCUCGUGGGAAAUAAAAGAAUACCUGGUUUUAACUUAACCACGACCCACAAAGAUGGAUUUCGUGAGGUUGUUAGGAUGAGGCAGCGCAUAGAUUUGGGUUUAUGGGGUGUGGUUGCUAAAUGCCUUAUGUUUGUAAGUGCUUAUGUGCGUUUAUCCGCGCCACUGUGUCUGUGCGCUUUCCCCCUACUUUUAUGCACCAGUUGUACUUGUCCGAAUAUCUGCUUCUCACCGUUAGUCCAAAAAAGCUCAGCCUCCGCAAUGCUACCAUUGGCUCCGUCACAGCCCCAAGCGGUUCUGACAUGUCGCUAACUCCUGCUUGGUUAAUUAAGUUUUCAAUCACCAGACAGAGGGUGAUAAUAAAUCGCAUUGAUAAUUCAUCGAAGCCCGUCCUUCAUUAUCGCAGGAAUAGGAGGGGCGCUGAGGUCUUUUCCUAAGCAUGUACAACUUAUAAGAUGUUGUGGUUUCUGUAACGAAAUAUGGUAGACCGAUGACCUAAUUGUGGAAACUCUUGUCGAGAGGUUUAUUGAUCUGACAGGAUGAAGGACUUGAUUUAACAUCAGCAAAGGCCUAGGACACUGAGAAGGCUUGUGGUAUUCCCACAAAGAUCCUAGCUAAAGGCCUGCGCGCUCAGCAGUGACGAGCAAUUAAACCUGGAUCUAUCCUAAUCUCGGCCCGGACAAUCUCAAAGGCCAACCUCCCAUCUAUAGAAUCCAUCUAUCAGGACCAUUGUCAAGGAAAGGCGGCUAGCCUUCUCAAAGAUCCAUCCCACCCUGGCAAUCCUUUUCUACAACCUCUACCAUUGGGGAGAAGGUACAGAAGCCUGAACACACACACCAGCCGAUUUUGUAACAGUUUCUAUUUUACUGUUUUUAGAAUAAUGAAUAGACUCACAAUCUCUUAACAUUUGCCUUAACUGUGCUUUUGCUUUUGUCACUGUUUACCUAUUAUUUACU